rnacentral:piRNA from 1 species
UGCUAUGUGAGAUAAUAUACUUAUAGA